UUAAGAGCUGUAGUGCUGAUCAGAGUGUGUUCAGUCCUUUCAGAGCCACUGACACGCAGCACAAUGAUGAUGGUACUGAUUCUACUGCUGGGGACACUGGGACUCCUCGCUCACCAGUCCUUUGGGGAAAUCGUCCUGACUCAGUCUCCAGGAUCUCAGACUGUUUCUCCAGGAGACACUGUUACUCUCAGCUGUACAACCAGUCAGAAUGUUAACAGUGAAUUUGACUGGUACCUGCAGAAACCUGGAGAAGCUCCUAAACUCCUGAUCUAUGCUGCAACUUCUCGUCAGUCUGGGAUUCCAGAUCGUUUCAGUGGCAGUGGAUCUGGUACACAGUUUAGUCUAAAAAUCUCUGGAGUCCAGUCUGAAGAUGCAGGAGAUUAUUACUGUCAGCAGGGUUACAGCUAUCCGUACACACAGUGUUAUAGCACCGUACAAAAACCUCCCUCAGCUGUAGAGAAAGUGCUCUGAGUCAGAAACACACACUGAUCCGCUCCAAACCAGCAGUCACAUAUUGCAAGGUUUGAACUAUAUUGAAACAGAGUGAAAUAAGUCUGUGAUUAUUU